CUUCCCAUUCCUUUACUACACUCGUCAGUUUCCUCAGGGGUCAUCGACUCGUUUUGCAAAGGCUAACAACUUCCUUUUACCCAAACCCAGGUCUAAUUAUGGCAAACUUAGCAGAAAAUUUUCGUCUGCAUCCCUGUGGAAUUAUUUACCUUUGGAGAUCAAAAAUAGAUACCUCGAAAUGUUUAUAAAAGGCUUGCGUUCGCACCUAUUAAAUUCAUAAUGCUUGAUAUUAUAUAGAGUGAAUGUUAUUGCAUUUUUGUUUUAUUUUUUCGUGCUUAUCUGCACAUUUUGUAUAACUUAUGUUCGCUAUUUCGUGCUUAUCUGUACAUUUUGUAUAUCUUAAUUUUUCUAUCCUUACCACUGUUUACUAUUGCGUUGUAUCCCUGAUGUAUGAUUUUAUAGGAGGUCUCACUCACAGUCUCGCGACUUUGAGACCUCCUUCUGUAUUUGUACAUAAUACAUGCA